GAUGAACGCUGGCGGCGUGCCUAAUACAUGCAAGUCGAGCGAACAGACGAGGAGCUUGCUCCUCUGACGUUAGCGGCGGACGGGUGAGUAACACGUGGAUAACCUACCUAUAAGACUGGGAUAACUUCGGGAAACCGGAGCUAAUACCGGAUAAUAUAUUGAACCGCAUGGUUCAAUAGUGAAAGACGGUUUUGCUGUCACUUAUAGAUGGAUCCGCGCCGCAUUAGCUAGUUGGUAAGGUAACGGCUUACCAAGGCAACGAUGCGUAGCCGACCUGAGAGGGUGAUCGGCCACACUGGAACUGAGACACGGUCCAGACUCCUACGGGAGGCAGCAGUAGGGAAUCUUCCGCAAUGGGCGAAAGCUUGACGGAGCGACGCCGCGUGAGUGAUGAAGGUCCUCGGAUCGUAAAACUCUGUUAUUAGGGAAGAACAAAUGUGUAAGUAACUAUGCACGUCUUGACGGUACCUAAUCAGAAAGCCACGGCUAACUACGUG
rnacentral:rRNA from 1 species